GCCAGGCGCAAUGGUGUGCGCCUGUGAUCCCAGUGGCUGGGGAGGCUGAGGCAGGAGGAUUGUGAGUUCAAAGCCAGCCUCAGCAAAAGCGAGUUGCUAAGCAACUCAGUAAGACUCUGUCUCUA
rnacentral:sRNA from 1 species